GACGAACGCUGGCGGCGUGCUUAACACAUGCAAGUCGAACGGAAAGGCCCUGCUUUUGUGGGGUGCUCGAGUGGCGAACGGGUGUGUAACACGUGAGUAACCUGCCCUUGACUUUGGGAUAACUUCAGGAAACUCGGGCUAAUACCGGAUAGGAGCUCCUGCUGCACGGUGGGGGUUGGAAAGUUUCGGCGGUUGGGGAUAGACUCGCGGCUUAUCAGCUUGUUGGUGGGGUAGUGGCUUACCAAGGCUUUGACGGGUAGCCAGCCUGAGAGGGUGACCGGCCACAUUGGGACUGAGAUACGGCCCAGACUCCUACGGGAGGCAGCAGUGGGGAAUAUUGCACAAUGGGCGGAAGCCUGAUGCAGCAACGCCGCGUGCGGGAUGACGGCCUUCGGGUUGUAAACCGCUUUCGCCUGUGACGAAGCGUGAGUGACGGUAAUGGGUAAAGAAGCACCGGCUAACUACGUG
rnacentral:rRNA from 1 species